rnacentral:rRNA from 1 species
UGGCGGACGGGUGAGUAAUGUCUGGGAAACUGCCCGAUGGAGGGGGAUAACUACUGGAAACGGUAGCUAAUACCGCAUAACGUCGCAAGACCAAAGAGGGGGACCCUCGGGCCUCUUGCCAUCGGAUGUGCCCAGAUGGGAUUAGCUAGUAGGUGGGGUAACGGCUCACCUAGGCGACGAUCCCUAGCUGGUCUGAGAGGAUGACCAGCCACACUGGAACUGAGACACGGUCCAG